AUUGAACGCUGGCGGCAUGCCUUACACAUGCAAGUCGAACGGUAACAGGUCUUCGGAUGCUGACGAGUGGCGAACGGGUGAGUAAUACAUCGGAACGUGCCCGAGAGUGGGGGAUAACGAGGCGAAAGCUUUGCUAAUACCGCAUACGAUCUCAGGAUGAAAGCAGGGGACCGCAAGGCCUUGCGCUUAUGGAGCGGCCGAUGGCAGAUUAGGUAGUUGGUGGGAUAAAAGCUUACCAAGCCGACGAUCUGUAGCUGGUCUGAGAGGACGACCAGCCACACUGGGACUGAGACACGGCCCAGACUCCUACGGGAGGCAGCAGUGGGGAAUUUUGGACAAUGGGCGCAAGCCUGAUCCAGCCAUGCCGCGUGCAGGAUGAAGGCCUUCGGGUUGUAAACUGCUUUUGUACGGAACGAAAAGACUCCUUCUAAUAAAGGGGGUCCAUGACGGUACCGUAAGAAUAAGCACCGGCUAACUACGUGCCAGCCGCCGUAGUAAAAC
rnacentral:rRNA from 1 species